GAACUUGUUUGUUUUUUUUAUAGCUUUGCGAUGAGUUCAACAAUUCAGCUAUUCAAAAUCAGCGAUUUUACAACUUUUGAUAAGAAUAUUUGGAAAUUCAAUGAAUGCGUAGAGUCGGUGUGCUAGCUGUGGCUCUAGUCUAAAUACAAGAGGAACCGCAUCAGGAGCUUUUGCUGAAUGAUAUGCAAGAACAGACAACAUCAUCCGCGAUAGUUAUGUGGAAAAAAAGAAUCAGAUUUCGACGGUGGAAAAAUUUCAUACUUCAUCUGAUUGGCCGGGACAGACUUCUCGGAGACUGGCGGUGGUUCUAGGUUCCAUUCCUAGGAAUGGAACCACUUUGCUUUGCCAUUCUUUUUAAAGGUGCCAAAGAUUCUUUUUAAAGAAAUGAUUUAAGAGCACUUCCCGUUGUUCAGCGAAUGUUCCGAUUGAAAAGCUGCGAUUAGAAACCACUGGAGGAACGGCUACUGGAUUUGGUGCUGUGCAAUCACCGGGGAGGAGGCAGCCGCGCUUGCGAAAAUGAUUAUGGCAUCGGUCCUUAUUCGCCCUGCAAUUGUUGCAUUUAGUGCAUCUUCAUUGCCAGCAUCCAAUUGUGAAGCUAACCAGAAUAAUGCUCAUGAUGUUUUCUUUUUGUGGGAUUUUCAUCCUGUGCGGAUGAUUCAUCCCUUCGCAUGUAUUUUAUAA